rnacentral:sRNA from 1 species
AUAUCUCUCUGUACGGGAAGGAUGAGAAGCUUCGACUAAGGUUCGAUUCGAGCGCCAGCGAGAAAGCGUUGCCGCAGGCAACGACCCGAAGGGCGAAGCGCGCAGCGCUGAGUCAUCCUUCCCCCACCACCA